AGGGUGAUCGUGGGGAAUCUGGUGCCGAGGGAGAGAAAGGUGCCCCUGGAACUGCUGGUCCUCCUGGGCCAAGGGGUCCAAUGGGUCUUCCAGGGUCACCCAGUAAUGGAAUGGAAAGAAAUCUGAAGGGAGAAAAGG